rnacentral:rRNA from 1 species
UCUAUACAUGACUCUGCGCAUAUCAAUAAGCGGAGGAAAAGAAACUAACAAGGAUUCCCUUAGUAACGGCGAGUGAAGCGGGAAGAGCUCAAAUUUGAAAUCUUAAAGGGUUUCCCUUUACGAAUUGUAGUUUAAAGAAGUGUUUUCUGCUGAGGUUUUGGUAAAAGUUCUUUGGAAUAGGACAUCAUAGAGGGUGAGAAUCCCGUAUUUGACCAUUACUUUUCAACUUUGUGAUACACUUUCAAAGAGUCGGAUUGUUUGGGAAUGCAGUCCAAAAUGGGUGGUAAAUUUCAUCUAAAGCUAAAUAUUGGCGAGAGACCGAUAGCGAACAAGUACCGUGAGGGAAAGAUGAAAAGAACUUUGAAAAGAGAGUUAAACAGUACGUGAAAUUGUCAAAAGGGAAGCGUUUGACACCAGUGUUGUUUUUCUGAAAAUCAAUUAAAGAACUGUUUAUGCUAAGUUGUUUAGACUUUAUCAGCUAUCUGUUUAGUUUUGAGCUUUUCUUUAAUGCACUUUUCAGUUAACAAGUCAACAUCAAUUUCUUUUGCUGUAAAAAAGCUUGAGGAAGGUGGCUUGAGAUUCGUCUUAAGUGUUUAUAGCCUCUUGCCUAUGCAGUCGGAGAGAUUGAGGUCUGCGGCGUAGAUCCUUCGGGGCUAAAUGCAUUUGUGCUAAGUUAUAGCAUUUUAUAGACAACUUGUUGACUAUGAUUUGUCUUGUAGCUUACUCGCUUAUGUUAUUUUACCUACGCUUAGGAUGUUGACAGCAGUAUAGACUGU